CAAUAACAUUCCUCAUCGUCGCAAUAGUUUCACGCAGUAAGAAUUUUCUUCUCGCUCCUAAUGGAGUUUGGACGAGUUAAUCAGUCCGGCUUUUCUUCCUCAAGUUUCCGUAACAUACAAGUGGCUUUUUACAAGGUUGACUUGUCAGGUCGACACUCAACCCCUAUUAGUCGCCUUUUACGAGAAGCGAGGGAUACUAUGGAAUCGGUGAAUUUGCAGGGAAGUAGAGCACUACCACCGUUUUGUGCAAGGACAUCGGUUACGAAUUCUCCACGUCUGAUAACAUCUCUCGUAUCAUCCUCGUCACUUUUUUCAUUUUGCGAAGAGCUC